AACGUAGGUGGCGAGCGUUAUCCGGAAUUACUGGGCGUAAAGGGCUCGUAGGCGGCCAACUAAGUCAGACGUGAAAUCCCUCGGCUUAACCGGGGAACUGCGUCUGAUACUGGAUGGCUUGAGUUCGGGAGAGGGAUGCGGAAUUCCAGGUGUAGCGGUGAAAUGCGUAGAUAUCUGGAGGAACACCGGUGGCGAAGGCGGCAUCCUGGACCGACACUGACGCUGAGGAGCGAAAGCCGGGGGAGCAAACGGG
rnacentral:rRNA from 1 species